AGAGUUUGAUCCUGGCUCAGAACGAACGCUGGCGGCGUGCUUAACACAUGCAAGUCGAGUGCGCGUUCCGGUAGCAAUAUCGGAAUGGCGCACGGCGCACGGGUGCGUAACACGUGGGCAAUCUGCCCUUCGAUGGGGAAUAACUCCGGGAAACCGAAGCUAAUUCCGCAUAACAUUCCCUGGACUCCGGUUCGGGGAUUCAAAGCCGUAAGGCGUCGAAGGAGGAGCCCGCGCCCGAUUAGCUAGUUGGUAGGGUAACGGCCUACCAAGGCUAUGAUCGGUAGCUGGUCUGAGAGGAUGGCCAGCCACACUGGAACUGAGACACGGUCCAGACUCCUACGGGAGGCAGCAGUGGGGAAUCUUGCGCAAUGGGCGAAAGCCUGACGCAGCGACGCCGCGUGGGGGAUGAAGCAUUUCGGUGUGUAAACCCCUUUCGACUGGGACGAAUGCCUCGCAAGAGGAGUGACGGUACCAGUAGAAGAAGCCCCGGCUAACUACGUGCCAGCAGCCGCGGUAAGACGUAGGGGGCCAGCGUUGUUCGGAAUUACUGGGUGUNAAAGGGUUCGU
rnacentral:rRNA from 1 species